UACAGAGGCGGCAAGCGUUGUUCGGAAUUAUUGGGCGUAAAGAGCACGUAGGCGGCUGUGUAAGUCGGUUGUGAAAGCCUUCCGCUCAACGGAAGAACGGCAUCCGAUACUGCAUGGCUUGAGUGUGGGAGGGGAGAGUGGAACUUCUGGUGGAGCGGUGAAAUGCGUAGAUAUCAGGAGGAACACCGGUGGCGAAGGCGGCACUCUGGGCCAGUACUGACGCUGAGGAGCGAAAGCUAGGGGAGCAAAC
rnacentral:rRNA from 1 species